CUUUACCCUAGAGGUGUUGCGGGUGUGGCUGCGGGGUCACCUGUGUGUCAUUUGGUGGCAGAGAGGAGAGAGGCUAUCUCUUUUCUCAGUGCUCUGACUUAUGAAUUUCUGAAUGCUUAGUAGCCCAACACU